GUUUUGACCCCAGUUGUCAAUUAUGUAAACCCCUCCCCUUAUUCCCGAACCUUCCCUGCCCGUCACCCCGGCCUGCCCUAAUCCCCCUAUCCAUCAUUGUAAACCCGACCCUUUCUUCCAGAACCUUCCAUGCUCCUCACCCCUACUUCGGUUCGCGAUUGGUUCCCUAGUUGCCGUCCCGCCCAUGACAUGUCCCUGUUGGUCACCAGUAGUGUAACCGCCUCCCCUCACUCCUCCUCCCCUGAUCCCUCAUUGGACCCUGAGUUGUACCCUCCCCUGGGGCUCAAGCGGUAUAUAACCUUGUGCACAGCUGUGUUGGGGGCUCUCCUUCCUCGUCGGGUUGUGAGUUGCAGGGAGUCAGGCUAGCCUGCCUUCCUACUCCUGUUGGUAUUUUUGCCAUCGAAUAAAGGUUUGGCUACUUCUUUUAACAUCCAGAAGAGUCCAGACCCUUGGGGUUUUUUUGACAGCAGGGCUUUUGGCAGCAGUGGCCGGGAGCAGCAAAGGUCGCGCCAGGGAAAAGGAAAUAAUUUACCACAGGAGAUGCUGAAAUACUAGAUAUGAACACUAAUAGCUGUAGUCACAUCAGAGGCAUAUGUGCCAUUUAAUAGCAAGUCUGAAUCCCAUCAUUCAUUUGAACAUUGCAGAUUUUCAACAAGCAAGGUCUGCAUUUGGAAAGGUGUUUUCUGUUGCUUUUAUUGUGUCAUGAUGGGAAUUAAUGAGGACAGGAUGCUUCAGAAAAAAGAGCACGUUGGAGAGGAGGAGUAGCUGGUUGUCACUGAUUCUGGCACAUUGUUUGGAGUGUAAUGACACAGGGAUGUUUAAUUUCAUCCCUCACCUUAGUGAGGAACUUGUAUCCAUCAGAAAAAUGUAUCCUGUCUUCAUGGCAACCUGUUAAUCCUCCUGUGUACACAGCCUUUGUUCCCGUUCUUUGCUGCCCCAGGAGCUGUUCUGUAGCUGUGCCUGUGCGCUGGGAGGAGUGCGUGCAUGCACCAGCGUGUACAGAGCAGCUGUUUGAAAUCACGAGUGUUAAAGAGCUCAAGUUCCUCCUUAAGGAAGAACCUGCAAGACCCAAACACUUCGGAGCUCCUACUGGUAUCCUGUGCCACGGGGAUUCACAGAGAUUCCUUCUCCCAAUGGACCAGAAUGUUUGCAUGUGUUUGUGAUUAGAAGUAUUAAAGUGCAAGCUGCUCUGUGUUUGUCCUUGUACAUUCAUGGUACACCUGCUUCUUGCUUUUUCCUGUCUUUUCUCCAGAUUUACUGUUACUUUUUUCCACUGGGUAGCUAAUUGUAAAAAGUAAAUUACUAAAAGCCUGUAGAGCCUUCGGGAACCCAUUAAAAGCCUUGCUUCCCUGAUGAGGAUUUUCUGCUACAACUUUCAACUGAGAUUUGUCACUUAAUUGGUUUUAAAUUUGAUUAGUGCGUGAUAUGUGUUUUUUUCAUUUCAAGUUCUCAGUCAAUGUUUCUGGAAGUACCAAGUCUAAUUUAUCCACAUACAAUUCUAGCCACAUCAAGCAAUUUACUUUUUAAUAUGAACUUUUAAUCUCAUCAAGUCAGUUAAGAUGCUUUUCCCGUAAAUGCGUCCUGGUUGGCAUUAAUUAUGUUACCAUGCUUUAAUUCUUUGUUUAUGAAGAUUUAACUAGAUUGCAGUUUAUUCGUGUAAACUGUUUCACAGAGUGAAAAAGUA